ACCAAUCUGAAUAAAAUCAUAUUCUUAAUACUCUCUGUGCAAGCGAGGAAGAUCGAGGACUUUAUUCAGAUUGAAGUAUUCACAUCUUUAGACACUGAUAAUUUCAGUAUGAUGUUCAUUCUUUACAUGACGCUUUCAUUAACCGUUGUGCAAGUAAGGGCAGGACCACCUACUUGCACCAAUCAGACAAGGACGUGUUGGCACCAAGGCAAGGACUAUGUGUGCAACAAUAUGAUUCCUACGGUGUAUUCAGGGAACGCUGGUUCGUUAACAAUACAAUGUGUACACAGGAAUAUAGCAUUGGACAAUAAUACCUUUGCCGACAAAAGCUAUCAGAAACUUAAAACGUUAAUUAUAUACAGUCCUUACGAUUAUAAGAUCACGUUUAAAUCAAACUGUUUCUUGGGCUUGAAAGAACUAUCUGAGUUACAUCUGAGCGUUGCGGGAACUUAUAUACACCGAGGAUGGCUUAAAGGACUCGAUAACAUUCGUGUGUUUAAUGUAUCGGAAUGUUAUACCAUGUUGCCGGAAAAUAUAUAUGAAAUGUAUGAAAAAGAAUCCAUGACAAAGUUAAGAGUAUUAGCUUUGCAUAGAUCCGUCGGAUUGAGACAGGGUUCAUUUGAUUUAAAUGCUUCGUUUUGGCGCUUUGUCGGUUCAAGACCCGUCGAGGUGCUUGACCUAGACUUUUUAGAGAUAUCAACAUUUGAUGUACAAGAAUUUUCAAAAAAUUGUGCAAAAAUAAGGAAGUUGUCUUUACGUUCAAGCAACAUAAAGCAGUUCACAAAUGUACUUUUAGAUAAAACAGCCGUUUGUUCAUUCGAUAUAAUUGAUGUUACAGGUAUGAUUUUGCCUAACAGGAUAAGGCCUUUCUGCUUCGUGAAUAUUGCUAACAGGCAAAAUUACAUUUAUAGUUUGGACGCUUAUGCGUUUUUACGGCAUACAAAAAAACUAUUCUUAAAUAAUAUUUGUAACAGCGGACAUCCUAUGAUAAUUAAACAUGAAAGAAAUAUCAGUUUUACAUCCAACUACGUGUGGAAUAUAGAAAAUAUAUCAUUCGAAGGUAACAACCUUCAAAUUAUUGAUACUCAGCUUAUAACUAUCGCACCGUUAAGGAACGUUAGAUCUUUUUCAUUCAGCCGAAACAAUCUAAAAUUCAUUCAUCCGGAUUUUUUCACCGUUUUUAAUGAUUUACAAUCAAUUGAUCUGUCUUACAACGAGCUACAAUCUAUGAGUUUUAAUAACAAAUCGCUAUUCAGUGUACUUUUCAAUAGUCUUUUAAAGAUACAGACUGUAAACCUUUCAUCCAAUCACCUUAAUUAUUUACCAAAAGACUUGUUCAUCCACAACACUCUGCUUAGAAAUUUAGACUUGUCACACAAUUAUUUGCGUACGUUAGAUCUAAACGUAAAAACAGCAAAGCAAAUACGAUAUCUUAACUUAUCAUAUAAUACCAUAGAAACGUUGAAUGAUGAAUCAAGAGACGUCAUUGAUGAAAUUAUACAAUCUAAGCACAACAAAACAACACUGGUCGACUUAAGUCAUAAUAGGUUCCCAUGUAGUGAAUGCAAUAAUCUUCAGUCAGUUCAAUGGCUAUUGGAUUUCAAAAGAAGAAAUAGUCAAUCAAUAACAUGUGUUGGCAAAGACGGGACGAUAACAGUUAUAGACGCCUCCGUUAUAUCAUCAGUACAAUACAUAUGUAAAAAACGAGAGCGAAUAGGACUAUGGAUUGGGUUUGGCGUAGGAGCACCAUUACUUGCGAUAUUAACAAUCUGUGUCGUUGUAUUGACAAAACGUAGAAUAAACCAUAAACAAAAGAAAGAAGACGUCAUUGCAUUACUUAAAGCAGGCGAAGAUGAAUUGAGGUUCGUUGUUUUUCUAUCAUUCAACAGUCAGGACGAGCCUUUCCUAAGAGGAAACGUGAUCAAUCCAUUAGAUCAACAUCUGCAAGAUGCAAUUGGAAUAGACAGAACAACAGUAUGUAUUGGAGAUAGGGAAUUUAUACCAGGACGUCCCAUCUCCGACGAAAUUGUCCAUUCUCUGCGGAAAUCGGCCAUGGUUCUAAUAUUAUUGUCCGAUGCGUAUACCCAAAGCGAGUAUUGCCGGCAGGAAUUUGAACAGGCCCUUAUAAUGGAUAAAGCGAUUAUAUUCUUAGUGAAGGACACAAUCCAAGAAGAGCUGCUGACACCUACAAUGCAAGAAUUGUACAAGAAAAACGUUCGCAUAAUUUGGACUUAUGAGAAUGGAAGGUAUCUUCUUAAAACUACUUGGAACCAUGUCUGCGCUUCUAUAAUAGACGUGUUCUCGAAGAAAUCGGGACUUUAAAACUCCAAAUCUAAUGCGCGACGGGUCGAAUUAUCGGCAAUACAGAGAUGGUAUAGGUGCAUACAAGUUCUUAGCGGAUGGCACGAAAUUGCAAGACUUUGACGUCUACCACGUUGAGUGGGACGGUAGAAAGCUCGCUGACCUCUUCAGUGGUUUGCAAGACGGAGAGAUCCUGGUUUUGGCUAGUCAACGUCGCCGUGUUGCUAGCCCGACAAAGAUUAAUGUCAAGCUUGCCUUUGACGCCUUCGAAACGCUGAUUUAUGGCGAAGUCACUGGAAAUGGUUUGCUGCGAUCCGUACCUGACAAAGGAACAUGGGCAUGUGUCUAUCAGAAAGGAAAUCCAAUUAGCUUCCAAGAAGAGGUCAAUGCUCUUGGCCACACAUCGACCGCAGUUCUAGACGCAGGGAAUGGUCUCUUAUUUCUCGCAGAGAGUAUAGGCAUUUCAGACUACAGGAAACAGGAAGACAAUUUCCGUGUAGGUGACAAUGACGCUAUCUACCCCAAAGUAUCAGUGUUGGAUGAUGUUUCCACUUGGCAGCCAGGUAAGAAGUGGAAGCAAAUGCAACGUUUUAUAACGGACCGCGUGUUCGAUACCAAGUAUCAGUAAAAGUGUCACCAUAGUUUUACCCAUGAGUGGACUUAUGUACAAAGGCAAUCCACCAUUUAAUUUCAUUUCCAUCAUUAAAAUUCCUGAUGUGAAACAUCUAUACAAUUACUCCUUAGCCAAGACUCUGAUUAAGAGUCAGACCUGUAUAUCACACAGCAAAGAUAAAAGGCUGACAAACUUAAUACGAACUAAAUAGUAAUACAGCAAACCUAGACGUUUUAAUGAAUAAACAGCAUCGGUCAGCAUGUUGGGCCGCCUUAGUUAAAUUAAGUCUUCGAAACCUUAAUUUUGAUGACUUUGAUACAUAUUUCCAAACGAAUUUGCCUGUUUCAUUUGAAAUGAAAAUAAAUUUAACCGGAUAUUAUUUAAAUCGGUAAGAGUUUAAGUCGA